UACGUAGGGACCGAGCGUUGUCCGGAUUCAUUGGGCGUAAAGAGCUCGUAGGCGGCUAUUCAAGUCGAACGUGAAAUCUCGGAGCUCAACUCCGAAACUGCGUUCGAUACCGGGUAGCUAGAGUCUGGUAGGGGGAUCUGGAAUUCCUGGUGUAGCGGUGGAAUGCGCAGAUAUCAGGAGGAACACCGGUGGCGAAGGCGGGAUCCUGGGCCAGUACUGACGCUGAGGAGCGAAAGCGUGGGGAGCAAACAGG
rnacentral:rRNA from 1 species